rnacentral:rRNA from 1 species
GUAGUCCAUGCCGUAAACGUUGGGCACUAGGUGUGGGGCUCAUUCCACGAGUUCCGUGCCGCAGCUAACGCAUUAAGUGCCCCGCCUGGGGAGUACGGCCGCAAGGCUAAAACUCAAAGGAAUUGACGGGGGCCCGCACAAGCGGCGGAGCAUGCGGAUUAAUUCGAUGCAACGCGAAGAACCUUACCAAGGCUUGACAUGCACCGGACGCUGCCAGAGAUGGUGGUUCCGCAAGGUCGGUGCACAGGUGGUGCAUGGUUGUCGUCAGCUCGUGUCGUGAGAUGUUGGGUUAAGUCCCGCAACGAGCGCAACCCUCGUCCCAUGUUGCCAGCGGGUUAUGCCGGGGACUC